rnacentral:misc_RNA from 1 species
GUGAUUAUUAGAUGUAAGUGCAUAAGCAAACAAAGGCUUACAGGACUUUCAUCAACCCCCCAUUCCCAAAGAAAAUUCACUUGUUUCAGUAUGCAUGUGCAAGUUGGCAUAAAAAAAAGUCUGGAAGAACUGUAGUAGGUAAUAAGUUUAUAAUUGCUAAUAAGCCAUAUAAACACAAGCUUCAUUAACAUUUACCUCAAGCACAACAUCAGGAU